rnacentral:rRNA from 1 species
AAGUCGGAAUUGCUAGUAAUGGCAGGUCAGCAUACUGCCGUGAAUACGUUCCCGGGCCCUUGUACACACCGCCCGUCACACCAUGAGAGUUGGAAAUACCCGAAGCCUGUGAGCUAACUGUAAAGAGGCAGCAGUCGAAGGUAGAGCCAAUGAUUGGGGUGAAGUCGUAACAAGGUAGC